AGAAAUAUUUUUCGUGGCAAAAAUUUUGCUGACCCAACCAUUAAAAAGUCAGGAAUUUGAUUACCCAACCUCAAAUAUCAAUUAAAAAAUAAAGACCCACCCCUGGCCAAAAACUUUACAAAAGGAUACCAUUCAGUUGUCACACAUGUCCUUUACCACUUCUGUGACAUGAAUUUGAUAACUGCUUGUGAAAUUUUCUGCAGUAUAAAGUUUCAUAUUGUCUGCACAUGUACUUUCUUUGGAGACAGCAUUUGUCUCUCAACAUAUUGGGAAAUGAUCAAGAUAGUGACUCUGAUUGAUUCACAUAUUGUAUUGACAUAUGACUGAGCUACUGUUGAC